rnacentral:rRNA from 1 species
AUUGAACGCUGGCGGCAGGCCUAACACAUGCAAGUCGAGCGGCUGCAGGGAGAUUGCUCCUGCAUUCAGCUGCCGACGGGUGAGUGAUGCCUAAGAAUCUGCCUGUUUGUGGUUGAUAACGUCCGGACACGGGCGCUCAUACGCCAUUCGUCCUGACGACCAACGUGUGGGAUCUUCGGACCUCCAGCUAUCAGAUGAUCCUAGGUCGGAUUAGCUAGUUGGUGGGGUAAAGGCCUACCAAGGCGACGAUCCGUCACUGGUCUGAGAGGAUGAUCAGCCACACUGGAACUGAGACACGGUCCAGACUCCUACGGGAGGCAGCAGUGGGGAAUAUUGGACAAUGGGCGAAAGCCUGAUCCAGCCAUGCCGCGUGUGUGAAGAAGGUCUUCGGAUUGUAAAGCCCUUUUGGUGGGGAGGAAAAGCAGUAAGUUAAUACCUUGCUGUUUUGACGGUACCAAAAGAAUAAGCACCGGCUAACUUCGUG